rnacentral:rRNA from 1 species
AACGAACGCUGGCGGCAGGCUUAACACAUGCAAGUCGAGCGCCCCGCCAGGGGAGCGGCAGACGGGUGAGUAACGCGUGGGAACGUACCUUUUGGUUCGGAACAACUCCGGGAAACUGGAGCUAAUACCGGAUAAGCCCUAACGGGGAAAGAUUUAUCGCCGAAAGCUCGGCCCGCGUCUGAUUAGCUAGUUGGUGAGGUAACGGCUCACCAAGGCGACGAUCAGUAGCUGGUCUGAGAGGAUGAUCAUCCACACUGGGCCUGAGACACGGCCCAGACUCCUACGGGAGGCAGCAGUGGGGAAUAUUGGACAAUGGGCGCAAGCCUGAUCCAGCCAUGCCGCGUGAGUGAUGAAGGCCUUAGGGUUGUAAAGCUCUUUUGUCCGGGAAGAUAAUGACGGUACCGGAAGAAUAAGCCCCGGCUAACUUCGUG